AUUGAACGCUGGCGGCAUGCUUUACACAUGCAAGUCGAACGGCAGCGCGGGCUUCGGCCUGGCGGCGAGUGGCGAACGGGUGAGUAAUACAUCGGAACGUGCCCAGUAGUGGGGGAUAGCUCGGCGAAAGCCGGAUUAAUACCGCAUACGACCUGAGGGUGAAAGCGGGGGAUCUUCGGACCUCGCGCUAUUGGAGCGGCCGAUGGCAGAUUGGCUAGUUGGUGGGGUAAAGGCCUACCAAGGCGACGAUCUGUAGCUGGUCUGAGAGGACGACCAGCCACACUGGGACUGAGACACGGCCCAGACUCCUACGGGAGGCAGCAGUGGGGAAUUUUGGACAAUGGGCGAAAGCCUGAUCCAGCAAUGCCGCGUGUGUGAUGAAGGCCUUCGGGUUGUAAAGCACUUUUGGCGGGAACGAAAAGGACUGUGCCAAUACCACGGUUCGAUGACGGUACCCGCAGAAUAAGCACCGGCUAACUACGUG
rnacentral:rRNA from 1 species